UCCAGGGGACUCCCAAAAGGCAAGAGAGCCGGGCCUCGUAGGGAAGGGAGAGGAAGGAGUCCGCAAAAGCUGCCCAAGGGGGGAACGACGUCGAAGGGACUCUUCGGGGCGGAGAUGGGUUUUGCCCCUUCUUUGUUUGGCAAAAGGUCUCAUGACCGGUGAUGCAUCUCACGGGCCCGGAGGUCCCCCCGCGGCCACACCCUGGCGGGGCUGAAGCCCGACGAAACUAGCAGCGGGAUUGGACCGUCGAGGUUCCUCUUUCUCUGGCCCGGCGCCGGCUCUGUUUCAAAAAACAAAACAAAAAAAGCGAAUUCCUGUAACCGAGGCCAUUGCGAGGUGGAAAGAGCAUAUAAGCAGAAGACCUUUGCUUUGCAAAGCGCUUGAGAACAGAAAGAUCACCGGUCCAUCAUCUGUGGUGGAAAGGAAGCCGACGGACAAAGAGGACCUGGAGAGACCCAAGUCAGGUGGGCAGCCUUUCCUUUUCCCCAGCAUGUCUCUUUGGCUUUGGCUUCUCUUGGUUUUCCUGAGAGCAGGGGACGCUGGAGCUCAAGAAGAUGUAGGCUUCAAAGCUUGCAGGCUUCAAGGCUUCAAGGAAAAAGUGCUGGAAGUGUUGCCUGGAGGUGGCUGGGACAACCUACGGAAUGUGGACAUGGGCAGGGUGAUGAGCCUCAACUAUUCCCAGUGCAGGGCCACAGAAGAUGGCCAAUACCUCAUUCCCGAUGACAUCUUUGUGGUGCCUCUCAAGAAGAGCACAGUAGAAGUGCAUUCAGAGCUGAUUGAGGACUGGUUGUCCUACACGGAUGCCUUUGCUGAAUCCAUCAAUGCUGAGGCUUCCUACCUUUCUGUCCUCAAUGGCAAAUUCUCAGCAAGCUCCCAGGAGACCAAGAUGCACAACGUCUACGAUGAGACGGUCACCACUCGAGUGCAAGCACGGUAUCACAUCUACUCCGUGAAAACUCAUCCUUCCUUCACCUUGCACAAGGACUUUCGCCAUCAGCUUGUGGACAUAGGCAACCAGCUGGAGAACAACCAAAGCCACAGAGCUGAGUAUCUGGCAGAGAUGCUAGUCCUCAACUAUGGUACGCACGUCCUCACGAGUGUAGACGCUGGAGCCAGCCUCCUGCAGGAGGACCAGGUGAAGCGGAGUUUUAUGUUGGACAAGGAGUCUGAGAAGGCGGGCAUCACGGCCUCAGCGUCGGCUACCUUUUUCAGCAAAGUGAACGUUGGCAUCAAUUUCUCUCUGGAGGCCUGGGAUGAUCUGACCAAGAGUUACCUGGAGAACACGGUGGAUUCCAAGGUCGAGAGCUGGGGCAGCAUGCCUUUCUACCCUGGCAUCACCCUCCAGAAGUGGCAAGAGGGCAUCCCCAAUGGCUUAGUGGCUGUAGGCAAGUCUGGGCUGCCUCUGCCUUUCCUCAUCACGGCCGAGGCCUUGCCAGAACUGCCUGAACCUACGGUUAAGCGAGUGGCCGCCGCAGUGGAAAAUGCCAUCCGCCUUUACUAUGCUGUGAACACCCACCCGGGUUGUGUCAAGCCUGAUUCUAGUAAUUUCAACUUCCAGGCUAAUGUGGACGACGGGUCCUGCCAACAACCCAACACUAACUUCACUUUUGGGGGCGUCUUCCAGGAGUGCCACGGCUUGUCCGGCGAAGGGACUGAGGAGACAUGCCAGCCCUACCGUAUCAAGAACCCACUGACCGGCGACUACUCUUGCCCAGCUAACUUUUCUGCUGUCCUGCUGCAUGGAGAACAGCGUACCACCAGCAAACCCAAGACAGAAUGCCACAGGCAGUGCCACUCCUGCUGGCUCCUGCUGAGCUGCUGUAAGACAGUUUGUGGCAUCCACUACUACUCCACCACAGUGAAGUUGAAUGCCUACUGGUGUGCAGCUACAGGCCCAGUGCCUCAAAACUCAGGCUUCCUCUUUGGAGGCCUGUACAGUCGGGGAAAUGAGAAUCCUGUCACCAGCACUUAUGCCUGCCCAGCCUUCUUCUUCCCACUGGUCCUGUUGGAAAAUCUAAAAGUGUGCGUCAGCAGUGACUAUGAGAUGGGAUCCCGCUUUGCCGUACCCUUUGGUGGCUUCUUCAGCUGUCAGUCUGGGAACCCUUUGGCUGGCUUACUAAAGGGACAGAGCCCUGGUAUCCUCCAAGACUUUUUCUACCAGGACUCUUCUACCAAAUAUCCCAUGAAAUGCCCAACAGGGCACAGCCAACAUAAAGCCUACAUUAGUGAUGGCUGUGAAAUCCUCUAUUGCCUGCAGGCUGGGACACUUUUUGCCCAGCAGUUAGCCCCCAUCAAGCUCCCACCCUUCUCGCGUGUGCCAUCCGCCAAUGCUGACCUUCCUGAAACCAUCAUGGUGCGCUCUGGUGGUAGCUUGGCCUGGGUGAAAAUGCACUCCAGUGGGAGCUGGAGGGUGGCGAAUGUCACAGAUGAGAAGCAGAUGGCUCUUCUUUUCCAGGGGCAAGAUAGUUCAGGACCAUCAGCAGGUGCCAUUGCUGGGAUUUCCGUGUCAGUGAUUGCUGUCUUGGCUGUUGUCAUUGCUCUCCUAGCUUACAAAAUCUGGCACUACAGGAGCAGAGGGUACCAGGAUGUGUCAAAUGGGCAUCUAAUAGAAGAUCAAGGAAACUAUGGAACUACUGAAGUUCCUCCAGAACUUAAUGCAGCCUGAGAGAUCUUUCAACCCCUACCAUGGAUUGAAAGUAUAUAAUCUGGCCUUUCCCCCCCUCUUCAGUCAGUCUAUUGAAAACAGAGAGUUUGCUGAGGCCUGUGCCGGAAGCAGCUAUGUUUGUCAGUGUUGCUGUUUGAUCUGUUCAGAACUCUCACUCCAUGAUGCUUCCCGCAUUUUCCUCCUGUGAAAAUUCAGCUUGACAACCGGCACAGAAAUCUUUAUUGGUGCUGCAACUGCUGCCAUGCUUGCCUCUCAGCAACAGGUUCCACAUAUUUUGAUUAGAUUUUAUAUGCACAAACAGGUUGUGGCUUUUAUUGAAUCCACCCCCCACCCCGGUCUCUCUCUGGAAAUACAACUGCCAACACUUCCCAGCCAUGUUAGAGGAGGAGGAGGACAAAAGAGAAGCUACAGCAAGCUGUGAAAUUCUUUGAGAUAAACCCAAUCCUUGCUUUUCCUACUGAUUAAUCCAAGGUAAAGAUUUAUGAGCUACUAUCUCCGUUCAUUAAAAAAAACAACAGCAGGAAGAUGGCUCAACCAUUUAUCAGACAGCAUGUGGACAGAUGUUCCUUUUAGCAAGUCAGCAAUUGCAGGUCUGCAUCACUUCUUGUUGCAGUUGCUUUGUUCACAUGUGUGGCUGAAACAGCUGCAAGUCAUAGACAGGCAAGUCUCUGAGACCACCGCUUCCUGUGAAACACAGGCGACCGCCAUGUCCACCAGAAAGGUACUAGUUUCCUUCAGUCCCUUUGGGGCAGAGAUCUGCCUUUCUGUCUCCCUCUAGAUGGAUCUUCACUGCAUAGUUUAAACAAUGAUUUCACCGCAACUUCUCCAUCAACCACUUGAGUGAUUGUGUCUCAAUGUGGAAAUAUACCUGAUAAUCUAACGUGCAUUUUUCAAUUCUCUCCAAACAUUGACAGCUUGCUUUUUAAAAGAAAGAGCUGCUAAAGGUACCAAGCCAGUUUAUGCAUACUAGAUUUAGAGUGAAGAUAAAGUGUGGAGAUGUAAGGCAGACAAAACACAGAUAUAACACCAUUUUUUCUUAUAAUAAUGACAGGUUUAAGGUUGAAUGGAAGACAAAAAAAACCUCCUGCACAUGGGGCUGAAUUGAGAAAAAAAAGCUUUAUUUUCCUGCUUGCAGAGUCUUACAUAUUACCCAGAGCUUGGAAAAGAGGUGAUGAUUGUUUAGGACUACAACUUGCAUAAUCCUGUUGGGGAUUAUGGGAAUGGUAGUCCAUGAUUUUGUGAAAACAGAACUAGAGCUGUCGUUAUUCGCACCUCACAAUAGGCCUCCUAGAGCUGGUGAGAGAGUAGUUCUAGUGAAGACUCUGUUCAUGUCACAACUGUUGAAAUAGGUUUCAAUGGCCAGGCUACUGAGAUUUUUGCCAAUGAAAUGGGAGCCAGAUCCUUUCUUGUUCUUUGUUUCAGGCAGCAAAAUGUCUCUGAUUGCCCCUAAUUACACUUUUAUCUCAGAAGACAACAUUGUUGUUAAGGAGUUCUCUCACAAACACAGAUACCACGCUAAUGAAAUCAUCUGAUUUCAUUUCAGUCAGCACUACAAUGGUGAGGAAGAUCAGUAUUUCAGGCAUGUCAAAACAUUUAACACCAAAUUGUGCAAUAGCCCUUUUUAUUUCAACAUAAAAGAGUCAUUCACAGGACUUUUCAGUAGAAUUUUUAAGGAUGGUACAUAGGAUUUCUUUCUCUGCUUUUUAUUUCUGUUGUAAACGUGUCCCUGAAUCAAAGAUAGCAAAGAAAAAGGGGAACUAGACCUACAUUAACUGUCCACCACAGAAAUAUUUGCAAUGCUUAUUAGUCAUGUUGUGAACAGACUGAAGACCGAAACUGUCACAUCCGAUCAGAAUAUGAAAAUCCUGCAUACUCAGCAGCUAAAUUACUUAUGGAAAUUCCCCUGCCUUAACAUUUGACUGCUUGGUCAACACAAGCAAGUUGCUAGAGAUCAGACAGGAUGUGUUGCUUGCUAGACUCAGUGACAGUGUAAUGCUAAUCCCUCAGGUGCACUGACAAUGGAAACAAUAAAAGAAGCUGAACUCACAAACAGGAAAAUUUUGAUUUAAGCACGUUAAACAAACAAACAAAUCAUGAAAGGGCUUUAAUGGCAUUGUGCCUGGUCACAUUGAAUAAAAAUUGCUACAACUUCAUUUUACAGCUAAAGCAAGCACCACAAAUCUAAUCAGAAGAGAUACACUCGGACAAUGCAGAAAACACCUGGAUGCAAUCUUUUGGCAACAAGUUGAGAAUUUCCCAUUUUAAAAAAAAACUGCAAUUGUGAAGAAAAAUGUUAGCAAGGAAGCACCCUAAUCUAAAAGAUCACUCAUGAGAAGAGCUACAGUUAACAGUUUCAGCACCUGGGGCUUUGCUAAGCUAUUGGUGAAGCUUGGCUGCCAUGUAAUUGGCAUAUAUGGGGAGACUAUGGAGGACCAGGGAGGAAUGCCUGGAUCUGAGCACAUUGUGACCACAUUGGUUUUGUGCUGAACCCACCUGUUUUGUGUUUGGUUCUGCCUGGUGAAGAGCAGCUGGAAGUACUAGUUGUGCUCAGGGUGGGGAGGGCUGCUCCCUUCCGCCAGUGAAUGACAAUGGAUGGGUCCACUUCCCUUUCAACAGGAAAUUUAUGUGCUCUCUAGAUUUGGCAUCCUGGGCCAAAGCCCCGAUCAACACAGCCUAUUGAAGGCUCUGACAAUGAGUUUAGAGAAUGUUAUACUAGGUUGUUUCCACAGCAGGUUUCUCUGGCAUUCCACAUCCUGAUAACCAGAAGCAAAAUGAUGCUGAAAAUGCAAAUGUCCAUCAAUACCAUGAGAGAAACCCACACAUUAAUAUCAUAAUGUUUAAUAACUAUAGGAACACUUAUUGUCUGUUAAUAAGCUGGAAAAUAAACUACCAAAAUAGUUGCAGUUUGUAAUUAGCUAAUGAAGUUCUGCUGCUUUAUCUGCUUCAUGCAGCAGAGGUUUGUUGCUUUUUGAGGUUGUCAGUCACUAGCUCCUUCUGAGAUUAUAUGAAAGGCAAUUGAGAAUCACAUUUUGAAGGUAGCAUAGAGUUGAGUCUGAGCAAGAUUCAAGCAUGAAGAUGGAUGGAAAAACAGUCUGUAGUAUAAAGUCAAAUUUCUAUCAUGGGAACCUAUCCAGAGCUAAUCAGGUUUCAGCUAAAUUAGUUAUUUUCACAAAUUACUGGUAGAUGUUCAUUUAUUGCUUUAUCAUAGUGCUUCUCAGAAAAGUUCGCUACAUACUUGCCUCAACUGGUGGGUGGGGGUGUUGUUGUUGCAGCAGCUGCUGCAUUAAUAAAUUUGUGUGACCAGCUUUAAAAGCAUUGGUAGAUACUGCAUCGCUCCACCUACUGUUUGGUGACACAGCCCUGGGUGGGGGUGCUGAAUCCAUUGAGUGCGACACAUUGCUUCCAAAGGUGCCAGUGCAACAGAGGAAAUUCUCCCCAUCAGGAAACAGGAAACACUACCUGACAUAAUGAUAGUACAUUGUUUAAUUUUUUGCAAUUAAAGUUAAGGGGCUGGAGUGCCCCAUAAAACAAGAGAGACAAUAAAUCAGUAACAUGAGCAUAAUGAUUCAAAUGAAAGAAAACUGAUCAUUAACGUUAAAACACAUUGAGAUGCUUAUCCAGGUAUAUAUAUACCACAUGGCCGUAAUGCAUUACAACAAAGGUAUGGAAAGUAUGGUAAGAAGCAGGUAACGUUGCUCUGGUGUGACUGCCGCCUGAGACAAUCACUCCAGGUUGCAAAUGCCACCACGCAGCAGCAGCAGCAGCAAGAGGUUCCAGCCUGCUGCUUCUGGUCCUCUUUCACGGCCUGUUGCCCUCAGCUGUGAUGGAGGGUACUCAGUCACAGAUAGUAUUCAACCAG